rnacentral:tRNA from 1 species
CCGGGUGUGGCGCAACAGGAUAGCGCAUCUGCCUUCUCCUGUGCUUUCUAACGAGAGUACAGAAGAAGCAGUGGGUUGUGGGUUCGAGUCCCGCCACCCGGA